rnacentral:rRNA from 1 species
GACGAACGCUGGCGGCGUGCUUAACACAUGCAAGUCGAACGGAGCACCCCUGAAGGAGUUUUCGGACAACGGAAGGGAAUGCUUAGUGGCGGACUGGUGAGUAACGCGUGAGGAACCUGCCUUUCAGAGGGGGACAACAGUUGGAAACGACUGCUAAUACCGCAUGACACAUAUUGACCGCAUGGUUGGUAUGUCAAAGAUUUAUUGCUGAAAGAUGACCUCGCGUCUGAUUAGCUGGUUGGUGAGGUAAUGGCUCACCAAGGCGACGAUCAGUAGCCGGACUGAGAGGUUGAACGGCCACAUUGGGACUGAGAUACGGCCCAG